rnacentral:rRNA from 1 species
GAAGAUUCCGGACUGKGGCUCGCGUGCU